rnacentral:rRNA from 1 species
UUUGUGGAGGGUUCGAUUCUGGCUCAGGAUGAACGCUGGCGGCGUGCUUAACACAUGCAAGUCGAACGGGAUCCAUCGGGCUUUGCUUGGUGGUGCCCAUGCUCCGGAAUAGCUCCUGGAAACGGGUGGUAAUGCCGGAUGUUCCACAUGAUCGCAUGUGAUUGUGGGAAAGAUUCUAUCGGCGUGGGAUGGGGUCGCGUCCUAUCAGCUUGUUGGUGAGGUAACGGCUCACCAAGGCUUCGACGGGUAGCCGGCCUGAGAGGGCGACCGGCCACAUUGGGACUGAGAUACGGCCCAGACUCCUACGGGAGGCAGCAGUGGGGAAUAUUGCACAAUGGGCGCAAGCCUGAUGCAGCGACGCCGCGUGAGGGAUGGAGGCCUUCGGGUUGUAAACCUCUUUUGUUUGGGAGCAAGCCUUCGGGUGAGUGUACCUUUCGAAUAAGCGCCGGCUAACUACGUGCCAGCAGCCGCGGUAAUACGUAGGGCGCAAGCGUUAUCCGGAUUUAUUGGGCGUAAAGGGCUCGUAGGCGGCUCGUCGCGUCCGGUGUGAAAGUCCAUCGCUUAACGGUGGAUCUGCGCCGGGUACGGGCGGGCUGGAGUGCGGUAGGGGAGACUGGAAUUCCCGGUGUAACGGUGGAAUGUGUAGAUAUCGGGAAGAACACCGAUGGCGAAGGCAGGUCUCUGGGCCGUCACUGACGCUGAGGAGCGAAAGCGUGGGGAGCGAACAGGAUUAGAUACCCUGGUAGUCCACGCCGUAAACGGUGGACGCUGGAUGUGGGGCACGUUCCACGUGUUCCGUGUCGGAGCUAACGCGUUAAGCGUCCCGCCUGGGGAGUACGGCCGCAAGGCUAAAACUCAAAGAAAUUGACGGGGGCCCGCACAAGCGGCGGAGCAUGCGGAUUAAUUCGAUGCAACGCGAAGAACCUUACCUGGGCUUGACAUGUUCCCGACGACGCCAGAGAUGGCGUUUCCCUUCGGGGCGGGUUCACAGGUGGUGCAUGGUCGUCGUCAGCUCGUGUCGUGAGAUGUUGGGUUAAGUCCCGCAACGAGCGCAACCCUCGCCCCGUGUUGCCAGCACGUUAUGGUGGGAACUCACGGGGGACCGCCGGGGUUAACUCGGAGGAAGGUGGGGAUGACGUCAGAUCAUCAUGCCCCUUACGUCCAGGGCUUCACGCAUGCUACAAUGGCCGGUACAGCGGGAUGCGACAUGGCGACAUGGAGCGGAUCCCUGAAAACCGGUCUCAGUUCGGAUCGGAGCCUGCAACCCGGCUCCGUGAAGGCGGAGUCGCUAGUAAUCGCGGAUCAGCAACGCCGCGGUGAAUGCGUUCCCGGGCCUUGUACACACCGCCCGUCAAGUCAUGAAAGUGGGCAGCACCCGAAGCCGGUGGCCUAACCCCUUGUGGGAUGGAGCCGUCUAAGGUGAGGCUCGUGAUUGGGACUAAGUCGUAACAAGGUAGCCGUACCGGAAGGUGCGGCUGGAUCACCUCCUUU